rnacentral:rRNA from 1 species
GACGAACGCUGGCGGCAUGCCUAAUACAUGCAAGUCGAGCGAACGGAUGAAGUGCUUGCACUUCUGACGUUAGCGGCGAACGGGUGAGUAACACGUAAGGAAUCUACCUAUAAGUGGGGGAUAACAUUCGGCAACGGGUGCUAAUACCGCAUAAUAUCUUCUUCCGCAUGGAAGAAGAUUGAAAGCAGGCUCUGCUGUCCCUUAUAGAUGACCUUGCGGUGCAUUAGUUAGUUGGUGGGGUAAUGGCCUACCAAGACGAUGAGGCAUAGCCGACCUGAGAGGGUGAUCGGCCACAUUGGGACUGAGACACGGCCCAAACUCCUACGGGAGGCAGCAGUAGGGAAUCUUCCGCAAUGGGCGAAAGCCUGACGGAGCAAUGCCGCGUGAGUGAAGAAGGCCUUCGGGUCGUAAAACUCUGUUAUAAGAGAAGAACAGAUUGUAGAGUAACUGCUACAGUCUUGACGGUAUCUUAUCAGAAAGCCACGGCUAACUACGUGCCAGCCGCCGCAGUAA